GAUUAACGCUAGCGGCAGGCAUAAUACAUGCAAGUUGAACGGCAGCACAGGUGGCAAUACUGGGUGGCGAGUGGCGCACGGGUGCGUAACACGUAUGCAACCUACCCUAUACAGGCGAAUAACCUUUAGAAAUGAGGGCUAAUACGCCGUAGUAUUACAGAUGGGCAUCUAUUUGUAAUUAAAGAUUUAUCGGUAUAGGAUGGGCAUGCGUCCCAUUAGUUAGUUGGUAAGGUAACGGCUUACCAAGACGAUGAUGGGUAGGGGAUCUGAGAGGACUUACCCCCACACUGGUACUGAGACACGGACCAGACUCCUACGGGAGGCAGCAGUAAGGAAUAUUGGGCAAUGGCCGCGAGGCUGACCCAGCCAUGCCGCGUGCAGGAAGACGGCCUUAUGGGUUGUAAACUGCUUUUAUACGGGAAUAAUAGAGUGUACGCGUACAUUUAUGCAAGUAUCGUAUGAAUAAGCAUCGGCUAACUCCGUG
rnacentral:rRNA from 1 species